rnacentral:tRNA from 1 species
GGGGCCGUAGUCUAGCCUGGUCUAGGACACGCGGCUUGGGCCCGCGAGGUCCCCGGUUCAAAUCCGGGCGGCCCCA